AGGGUCGACCGGGCCACAUGCUUCAUGACUUCUACAAGUGUAGAAGUGAAUGGUUUAAAAAGACACUUAACAGAUGUAUGAAUGAUAAUUCUCUGCGCUACAGAACUCACAGAACGCGGCAAAGAUCGUCAAGUAGUUUUGUCGUCUUUAAUUUCGCACUUCUAACCUUUACACUUAUGCUGACACACACAUGAAAUAAAAAUUUUUAAUAAAAUG